UACGGAGGAUGCAAGCGUUAUCCGGAAUUAUUGGGCGUAAAGCGUCCGUAGGUGGCUUUACAAGUCAGCUGUUAAAGCGUGGAGCUUAACUCCAUAAAGGCAGUUGAAACUGUGAGGCUAGAGUGCGGUAGGGGUAAGGGGAAUUCCCAGUGUAGCGGUGAAAUGCGUAGAUAUUGGGAAGAACACCGGUGGCGAAAGCGCCUUGCUGGACCGGCACUGACACUGAGGGACGAAAGCUAGGGGAGCGAAAGGG
rnacentral:rRNA from 1 species